UCGAGGCCCGCGGGAGCGCGGCGCAGCCCUCGGCCCGCGGGGGCGGCCUCCUGGCAUCUUCGCGGCGACCAAGGACGACCCGGGAGGGGAGCCUCCGGGAUGGCGCGUCCGCGGCCUCGCGAGUACAAAGCAGGCGACCUAGUCUUUGCCAAGAUGAAGGGCUACCCGCACUGGCCGGCGCGGAUUGAUGAACUCCCAGAGGGAGCUGUGAAGCCUCCAGCAAACAAGUAUCCUAUCUUCUUUUUUGGCACUCAUGAAACUGCUUUUCUAGGUCCCAAAGACCUUUUUCCAUAUAAGGAAUACAAAGACAAGUUUGGGAAGUCAAACAAACGGAAAGGAUUUAAUGAAGGAUUGUGGGAAAUAGAAAAUAACCCAGGAGUCAAGUUUACUGGAUACCAGGCAAUUCAGCAACAGAGCUCUUCAGAAACUGAGGGAGAAGGAGGAAACACUGCAGAUGCAAGUAGUGAGGAAGAAGGUGAUAGAGUAGAAGAAGAUGGAAAAGGCAAAAGAAAAAAUGAAAAAGGAGGCUCAAAACGGAAAAAGUCAUACACAUCAAAGAAAUCCUCUAAACAAUCCCGGAAAUCUCCAGGAGAUGAAGAUGAUAAAGACUGCAAAGAAGAAGAAAACAAAAGCAGCUCUGAGGGUGGAGAUGCCGGCAAUGACACAAGAAACACAACUUCAGACUUGCAGAAAACCAGUGAAGGGGGUUUUCUGAGCAGCAUAGUAUAGUGAUUCAGAACACUUACUCUGGAACCAGAUGGCCAGAGUCAAAUUCCAGCUCCACCACAAACCAGCAAGAUGGCCUUGGGUGAGGUAUGUAACCCUGUGGCUUCCUCAUCUGUAAAAAUGGGUAAUAAUAGAACCUACCUCAUAGAGGUUCAUUGCAAUGAUAUCUGGGACAUGCUUAGGAUGGUGCCAAGCACAUGAGGCUGUUCUGUAGACAGAUUCAAAACUCAAAUACUUUUUCAUAAUCUGGUGCUAUACUUUGUUGAAAAUCUGGGCUCUUGUUGACCUUUUGGCUGUCAUUGUCUCCAUCAAAGGAUAAUAUAAAUAUGUUAAACCCAAAGUCUCAUUUUAAUACUAAAUAAAGAUGUCUGGUAAUGAAUCAUACCAAAAGCAAAUGAGUGAAGUGAGAUUUGCAUUAAUAUUACAAUUAUCCAUGCUUUUCCUAAACCUUUAUUUUCAUAUACUUCUUAAAGGUUUCCACAAAGGAAAAAACUAAAUUCACUUCAGUAGAGUCAGCUCUUUAUAACCAGAUUGUCCACAGAUAAGCCUCCAGACCCCUUUGUGAGAAAGUCCAUGGCACCUGCACAGUCAGGAGUGGGAGAGGCGGAGGGCAACCAGUGGGAGGAGAUUUCACCUUGUAAGAGUGAAAUGAGCCUGCUUCUAAGGUUGUAGGGCUGCAGAAAGCCUGUUGUGAAUCUGUCCCAUAGCUUUCACUCAGUUUCUUUGAGUUUUAGGUAAUUAUAUGCAAUACACAUAGCUUGCUUAAACUGGCUACAGAUUAAUUAGUGUCUCAAUAAAAUAAGCAUUUCUCCAAACUCUUACUGGGAAUUAUACCAAUAAUAAUAAUAGCAACCAAGAGUUUACAUAGCUAUUGUGUGGCAUGAACUAUUCUUAGCCCUUCAAAUAUAUUGCCUCAUUUAAUCCUCACAGCAACACUAUGAGAAAGGUACUGUUAAUAUCCUCACUUUACAGAAGAGGAAAUGUGAUCAGAGAGGUGAUCAAGGUCAUUGAGCUAAUCAGUGACAGGUUGGAUCUAAAUCAUUCUUCUUCCAGAGCUCCUGCUCUUAACCAUUAACUAUUACCUCUGAGGGGUUUUUUUCUUUUAAUUUUUUCAUUUUUAGUGAUAUUUUAACAAUAUAAAAAUAUUGUUAUUUUAACAAUAUUUUUUAACAAUAUGAUAUUUUAACAAUUAUAAAGUAAUCCAUUUAUGCUAAGGGAAAUUGGUUCCAGGAAAUCUGUGGAUAAUCAAGUCCCUUAUAUGAAAUGAUAUAUUUGCAGGUAUAAUACACACAUCCUCCCAUAUACUUUAAACCAUAGGUUUAAAAUCUAGGUUACUUAAUAAUACCUACUAGAAUAUACAUUUUAUGUAAAUAGUUAUUAGGGAAUAAUGACAAGGAAAAGUCUAUAUGUUUAAUAGGCCUAAAUUUUUGAUGGUUGAAUCUGCACAUAGAGCUAUGUAAGUUGAUAGAAAAUGCUAGUAAACAGAUUGAAUCAGCCUGUAAUACUUUUUUAAGUUAGGCUUGCAACUUUAGUCCUAUAGUAAGCAUUUUGUAUGAAGAAAUAAUUGGCUAUGAAUAAGUUCCAGUGGAAUUAUUUGGCCUAAAAGGUGUCCUGGUUUUACUUUAUUCUACUUAUCUAGUGAACUUUUGAUUUCUGAAGUCAACAGAUUUGCCAAACUCCUACAUUGUCAGAAAUCAAGGACUGUCUUCCAUUGACCUAACAGAUAUAGAACUUUGCAAAGAUUUUUUUUCUUAUUAAAUUCCAUACAGUUGGGAGUUCACUAGAUCUUUUAAUAAGAGCAUGUUUUGGUAAUGUCAGUAGGAUCAUGAAGGUAUAAGGCUUCUAAAUUAGACAUGGCAAUUUUAGCCAACAACAGGUACUGGUCAAGGUUACAAAGUAAUUUUUAUGUUGAAUAUAUCUGAUACCCUCCUAAGAUGAGAGGCUAUUUCAUAAACAGGUAUUUUCUAGGUGUAAAACAAAUAACAACUAAUUCAACAUCCUAAUCAUAUGCAUUGUUUUGCUGCAGCAUGAUUUCUAACUUUUCCUUAGGCUGAACACUAUGUAUAAUAGAUACCCAAGCCCAAUAAUAGCUCUAGGGUGAAACACACAAUUCUUGAAUUAUGCCAGUCUUUGCCUGCUUAGUCAAGAGAAAUGUCCUUCUGACAUUUAUAGGACCUGAGCCUCAGACUCUGGGUCUGGGCGCUUAUCAGCAAGAGAGGAACUUCAGGCUACCUUGUCACAUUGGGUAGUGAUGAAUAAGCCCAAGGAUUCCUGGAAGUCCUAAAGUUUGGCUGAAGCUGCCACUGCUGCUGCCCUUCCUAGAAUGAUCAUAGUAGAGUCACAAGUACCCAUUUGAAAGAUGAGCUUCAUCAACAGGUAGUGUUUUGGGUUGGUUUCACUGCUCUGGGCUCUGAUAUCCAGUUGCUCCCAAAGCCAUGACCUUCCUAAGCCUCCUGACUCCUGGCUCAUUCCACAUGACUGGGCCUUUGCUUAGGUUUUUCUGCGUAAUUCUCUAGUUUCCUGAGAUUUUACAGGUCCCACGUCAGGCCUCCUCUGCCAUCCUCCUAACUGAGGACACUUCUAGCUGAGUGCUGCCUCAAGCUGGUGGCACAGGGAAGACCAAGGCACAUGGAGUGCAGAGGAGGCCCAAUAGUGAAUCAAAGCACACAGGUAAUGAGUAGCUGUUGGACUCUGAAUAAUCUAAUCCUAGAAAAGUUGGACACUGUAGCACAUGCCUGUAAUUCCAGCAAUUUGGAAGGCUAAGGCAGGAGGAUCUCAAGUUCCAGGCCAGCCUCAGCAACUUAGCCAGAGCCUGUCUCAAAAAAAUUAAAAGGGCUAGGGAUGUAGCUCAGUGGUAAAAUGCCCCUGGAUUCAAUUCCCAGUACAAAAAAGAGAGAAAAGAAAAGGCUGGCAAGAGUAUGGUGAGUAUGUAUAUGUAUCCUGGAUGAUACAGGAAAAUAAUGGAGAGGAACCAGGCCACGAAAAAAGCCAAGGUUUACUCUGCCCACUGACCUGCUGCACACUCUGACAUCUACAUGCUUCUUUGUUCCCUGAAGAGACUCAACCUAAUAAAGUCCUGCUUGGCCCUCAGAACCCCUUUAGAUGUCACUGCCUCCCACACUCAUGCUCACCCACAAAGGUUCUCCAACUCCUCCAUGCUGCACACAGUCUUUCUUGCAUAGAAGAACCCUGUGCCAUAGCUGUUUGCAGAGGCAGGGGAAGAUCGUGAAAAAGAAGAUGGGCUUUGGAGUCAGGAUUUCAUAUCCUUUCUAUGCCAUUUAGUAACUCUAGUGACCUUGGCCAAGUGACUCAAGCUGUCCCUAGCUUCAGUUUCGUCAUCUUUAAAUGGAAAUUUAAUUUAAAAACAAAAAUCUUUGCAAAGAUAAUGUCAUGCAUACGUUACUCUUUCUUCUGAGGCACAUAGGAAGACCACAUUUACCAGACUCCCCUGCAGCUGAGUUGAUACCAGAACUGGCCCUUGAAUAUAUUCCAUAUGAUCUAUGCACAGCAAGAAAUGAAAUUUUACUGUUUAACCACUGAGUAUUUGUUACUGCAACAGAACACAGAGCUAUCCUUACACAAAUAGGUAAGUACAAUAUUUAGCAUAAUUUGCCCAUGUCCUAUUUUAGUCUCUAAAUCUGACAAGGGAAUGACACAACCAGGGGAAAUGAUCAAGUUUGGAAUUAUAAAUAUAAGAGUCUUGGAGCAAAUUGGGAUGAAGCAAUUGGAAGUCAUUACUUAUAGUUGAAGGCCUGAAGAGUUGGGUCUAUAAAGGAGGAGCCACCAACAAAGUGGGAUAAAUGGAGGUCUCCUCCAGGAUAGGAAUCAUUUCUUUUGGGUGCUGAAUUGACUUUUCUAUUAUGAAUAUUCCAAUUUUAUAAUUAAAUACCUCAGGCUUGAAGGAUUUAACCCAGUAACCCCCAAAAUACUGUAAUUGUUCUUUUAAUUCUGAAUUCUAGUGUCUUUGCCAUAUGGUUACUACACCAUGGGUACAUACUUAACUGUAUAUGCCUAGAGUUUCUGGAUGAACUUCAUUCUUAAGCCUUCUUGAAAAGAACAAGACAAAGUUUUUUAAAAAACUGAGUUCAUUUUUUUUUAUUUCCAGUAAGAAACUAUAAAAUUACUUAACUUUCUUCCUUGUUCAGAAGAUUGCUUUGUUUCACUACUUGUUAUGCUUGUAAAAAUGUUUUGUAUGAUAACUGCAUAAAUAAUUUCCAGUUUAAUGUAGUAAACUUUUACUGAACACCCACUGUCAGAGAAUUAGCUUGGUGCCAGAAGGAGGAAUUCAACAACAGGCCCAGCUUUCCAGGAGCAGAACUUUUCUUAAGAUCAGUUUCCCUGGUUCUAUAUAGCAUAGUAUAGCAGAACUGGAAAUAUUAAAUUUAGAUAGACAUCUUGAAAAUAACAGCUCUCAAUUCCUUUUCAAUGGCCAUGAUAUUCAGAGAUUGGGAAACAGUCCUAUAAAAACAAUAGCGCUACUUGCUCGGUAUGUGAACUUGGGCAAAUCAUGUAAUGUCACUUAACCUCAGGUUCCUCAUCUGUAUAACUAGACAAAUCUACUAGAUAGUUAUUGUUUAAGUAAAAUGUAUAUACAGAAAUGUCUUCCAAAGAAUUGUAAAACAAAAGACAACAUGUCUCAUAGCUAUUUCUUACUCUAAACACUGAACAGAGAUAGUUUUUAUAUAUAUUCAAUAAUGAUAGCUAUAUCACCACUCAGAAGAAAAUAUUCUUAGUACCUGAGCUAGGCCUCCAGCGUGAAUCAGUGUUAUGUCAGGCAUCCAGGAACACCCAGGAACCACUAAGCCAUAAAGUGCAAUCACAAAGUAAGGCACAGAAUAAAACAUAUAUGCCAGCAUCUGUAUUGAAUGGAGAAAUAAAUAACAUCAGCAAAUUAAUAGCUUAGCCUAAACAAAAAGUAUAAAAACAAAUAACAUUUUUCAGGAUAAAAUCCUAAAUUCAGUUUUCUCUUUAGGGCCACAUUUUCCCAUUUAAAAAAAAAAGAAUUUAACUUUUAAACUUUUAAAAAUUCUUAGGCUUCAUAACUACUUGACCUGAAUUUUAGGAUAAGCAGCAGGAUCCUUUAGGUAGGGCUCUUGAAAUUGUGCAUAUGAUCGGCAGAGUUCAGCUGGGCAAUCCAAAGCAAUCUAAGAACAAAAAUGAAUUUAUCAUAAAAAUACAAUCACUUCUGGUUUGUAGGUUUGCUGAUAAGGCUAAUGUGCCAGGUUUAGUCACAAGCUGCUAUUUAACAAAAACUGCAUUGUAGAGGUUCAUCAAUGAAAGAGAAAGAGGAAAUAUUCUGCAGAUUUAUCUAAGGAAAUUAAACAGAGGUUAAUAGUGGAGUAGGAAAUGGAAACAAAUGCUCUAUUCUUGGGUAUCUUUCAAAUAUUCAUAGUUUAAGUAUGUAGGUUUGGCUAGCCAAAGCACAGCUUGCUUUAGAUUUAGUUUCACUUCUCCUGGGAAUAACUAGCCAACUAGUCCCUACAGGAAGAAAAGUAGAUUUCUAUACCAAAUUCAUCUUACUAUCCUCUCCAAGAUUCAAAAAUAGCAUCCUCCUCUCUCCAGUGCCUCACAGAGUAUAUAUGGCCUUUGAGUAUAGUAAAGGAUAAUGAUUUAAAAGCAGGAUCCUCUUGUCUGAAGCCACCUCCUGUAUCUACUUUGAAAGAGAUCAGAAAAGAUUUAGUCUCAGCAGAGAAAACUCUAGGCCACAGAACAGACAAAGGUCUCUUUGGCAUACUACUGAGUCUGCUGAGUCACCUUCCCUCUCAGGUACCAUUCCUCAUAUCCUUGGCCAUAUGAAAUGUCCCAACAUGUAGAACACAAGCCAAUGUCAGAACUGGUCAAAAUGGGUCCCAACCCAAAACCCAUCUGCAAAACCCCCACUUACCACACAUACACAUCCAUGCAUUUUUCUAACAUGCAGAGGGAAGUGGAUAUGGUUUUGCAAGAAUACAACUGGGUCAUGUUAUUUCUUUUUGUCUCUACUUUGAGAAAUAUACAGCAAACUAACCAAAGAAAAGUUUCAGUGGUCUGAAAAGUUUUCAGUGGCCUAUGACCUUGCCUUUGUUUCCCUUCCCUGUGUCUCUCCUCUUCUUAACCAAAUCCUCCAGGAUGAUUCUGACAAUCCAUAAACAGAGACAACUCAAAAUAGCUUCUUACUGUGAAUCCUCAGUGGCCAUACAGGCCCCUUUUAGCCCAAGGACCGCAAAAAAAUGGAAAAGCUGCAUCAGUUUACACUUGCCGCUCUGUUCCCUGACUGUUCUAAGCUGAAUAUAGUUAAUUCUGAGCUGCUUAAAUUUUUUUCUGCUAAGAAUAAAUUAUGAAACAGAGCAUUGUGAAGGAUCACUGAUCAAUUAAAACAGAGAAGUAAUUUAUUGAUGCUUACUUUUUAUACAUAGUAACUCUACCAAGAGUUUAAUGUGCAUUAUCUUACUUAAUAUUCAAAACAAUACUGUAAGGUAGGUAGUUUCAUUUUAGAGGAAAAAAUUGAGGUCAAAGAAAAUUUUUCUAAAGCCAUAGAGCUAUAGUAAAUGGCCAAGAUUCCAAACUCCAAAGCUUAUAGGUCUUUUUCUUAUCCUUCAUAUUAUAAAAAUUAUAAAGGGAAAGUAUAAAAAAAUGAAAUGUCCACAUGCCCUUAAUGUUUAUCAUGCACAUCAAUACCCAGACUCUGAACCUGGACCUGGUUUGCUCAACACUAUUCUUACCAGUGAGAAAUUCACAUGACCCUACAUAGAUUUGAAUUGUUUAUUUUGAAUUUGAAUUCUUACUCAGUCCCAUUGCCCCUUCUCUUGAGAUGCUCUGUGUGACAGCUAGAUGAGUCUUAGGAUAUCAUCCUUGCCAAAUAUAUUUACAUUUAAAUCAGAAACAUCAAAGGAUCCAAGAAAUUGAAUUCUAAUGGCUAAAAUAAGGGAAGGAAGAUACUUUUGGAUGAAGCUUGACCUAGGGACCUAAAGGAGGUGGUAUGAAACAACCCAAGAUGAGUCACCCCUUGGGAUCAGAGGCUUGAGGGUGAGAGACCAGCAUGAAGUAGGUCCAGAAUUCCAGGCUCUAACAGGAAAAAAUUGUUUGUUUGUUUGCUAAGAAGUCUGAUUUAAAAAAAAAAAAAAAAAACAUUUUCAGGAGUUUUGGAAGCAUUAAUAGGAUAAUAAUGUUGUUUUGAUCUCUUAUGCUUACCAAGCCUCUGAACAAGCAAAAUACAGUUGCCAGGAGGAGACACAUGACCAACAUUAAAUCCAGUGGUCUUCUCAGCAGGUCCUUUGCUUGGGCUUCUUGUACAACCUAAAAUAGAGUUUUAUCUAAACAGCAAGCCCAAAGUGACAAAGAAGAAUCUCAGAUCUCCUUAAACACUGAAUGCCAUGAUGAUGGAUGACAGAAUUUUGAAGAUUCACAAUUCAUAUCAUAUACCACUUGCCAUGGAACUUUAGGAGAGUCAUCCCCACUCCUUCUGUGAAAUGAAGAGAUGAGACCAGGUGAUCUUGAAGGGCCUUUCCAGCUCUGUUAGUCCAGAUUUUUUCUUUUCUUUUUUUUUUAAUUUUUUUUAUAGUUGUAGAUGGACAGCAUGCCUUUAUUUUGUUUCUUUUUUUAAUAUUUAUUUUUUAGUUGUAGUUGGACACAAUCCCGUUAUUUCACUUAUUUAUUUUUAUGUGGUGUUAAGGAUCUAACCCAGUGCUUCACACAUGCUAGGCAAGUGCCUGCCACUGAGCUACAGCCUCAGCCCCCCCGAUUUUUUUUUUUUUUUUUUAGUUUUUAGGUGGACACAAUAUCUUUAUUUUAUUUUUAGGUGGUGCUGAGGAUCAAACCCAGUGCCUCGCGCAUGCCAGGCCAGUGCGCUACCAUUUGAGCCACAUCUCCAGCCCCCAGAUUUUUUCUUGAAAUGACAUUUUCAUGAUUUUAAAAGAUACACUCAUUUGAAAACUAAGAAAAUAUUAAUAAAUAAACCAUGAACUAGUCAUAUCACUUUUUAGUCACAUAUUUACAUUUGUAUUCAUUUGUAUAUAUACAUAUUCAUAUAAAAUCCAUUUUGGGGCAGGGGAGAUGGGAUUUAACCCAGGGUCAUUUUACCACUGAGAUCAAUCCCCAGCACUUUUUCUUCUUAAUAUAUUUUUUAGUUGUAGGUGGACAUAAUACCUUUAUUUUAUUAUUUUUAUGUGGUGCUGAGGAUCAACCCCAGUGCCUCACAUAUGCCAGGAAACCACUCUACCACUGAGCUACAACCCCAGCACCCCAGCACAUUUUUUUUAUUUUGAGAUAGGAUUUCACUAAGUUGCUGAAGCUAGCCUCAAACUUUUGAUCCUCCUAUCUCAGCCUCUCGAGUCACUGGGAUUACAGACAUGGACAGCUAAAAUCUGUAUUUUCACAAAAUUAGAACAUAAUAUAUAAACAAUUUUGCAGUCUCUUUUCACUCAACAACUACCUAUAUAAUAAGCAUUUUCCUGCAUUAUUAAAAGUUCCAAAACUUAAUACCAUAUGGGAACACACUUUAGCUAUUCUCCCACUGUUGGCAUUUACAUAUUUUUCACUGUCAAAUUUAAUGUGAUGGUGAACAAUUUUGUACAUAAAUCUUUGUCAUCUUUUUUGCUUGCAGCACUAGGGAUUGAACGGGUGUUCCACUACUGAGCUAUAAAAUCCAGCUUUUUUAUUUUUUAUUUUGAGGCAGGGUCUUACUACAUUGCCCAGGCUGGUCUUGAACUUGCACUCCUCCUGUCUUAGCCCCCUAUGCAGCAGGAAUUAUAGGUGUGCACCAGCAUACCCAGCUGUACAUAAAAAUCUUUGACAGCAUUUCUUUAAUGAAUUUCUUAGGAUAGGUCACUGACUAUUCAAUUUUUAGGUUGAAGGAUUGUUAAGUUUAUAAACUUAGGUUCUUGUUAGCACUGUAUGAUGGUUGCAUUUGGUCCAUCACUGUGUUUUAGCAUCAAAAAUAAUAAUUAAAGGUUCUGUGGGUCUUAUGAUUAUUCUGAUGGCAUACUGACAUGGUGCCUCUGAAAGCAGGGAAGACGGGGCUAAAGCCAGGAUUGCUAUUUACUUUUUCUUUUUAACAACUACCUCAUUCCUCAAAGGGAUGUAAAAGCACCAGUGUGCCAGCCUGAGUUUAACACAGCAGGUGUCUAAAUGUUUACAAAUAAAGUGUGUGUACGUUUAAAUAUAUUUUAACACUGUGGGUUUAGCUCAAUGGUAGAGAAGAUAAUUAGCAUACAGGAGACUACAGGUUCAAUCCCCAGCAUCAAGGAAAAAAAAUAAUAAUUUUAUUGAGUUCUAUUAUAAAUGUUUUUGUAGGCCGGAUGUGGUGGUACAAUCCUGUAAUCCCAGUGGCAUAGGUGGCUGAGGCAGGAGGAUCAGAAGUUCAAAGCCAGCCUCAGCAACUUAGCAAGGCCCUGUCUCAAAAUAAAAAACAAAAAGGGUUUGGGAUAUGACUCAGCAGAACUCCCUGUUAGAUGUAAAAGAGCAUGAAAAGGAAGAGAAAGUUAAAAGAAGAAAAGAAACUGGAUCCAUAUUUUAAAUCAUUAAAAUGCUGGGGACACUUGUCAACACAGACCAGCAGACCACACCUGUCUAUUUUCACGACCUCCCCAUGCCCGCCCAAGAACUCUCACUGACAGAGCACGAGUCAUUGGGAUGAAGAAUGACAAAGCUACCACUGACUCAUCCCACCUAUGCAGCAGGAACAAAGGCAAUAACAGAGUGGCUAAAGAAGCAAACCAGUGACCGCCAGAUUUAAGAUAAUAACAGAAGAGACAGGGUCCUACUAAGUUGCACAGGCUGGCCUCCAACUUGCAAGCUGUAAAGAGCCAAGAAGAGAAGGCAGAGAGUACAGGAGAAUGGGGGAGAUAUCAGUAAGUUAAGUGUGGGCUCCAUGGGGUGUGAAUGGAGAGGAGACAGCAGCAGGAGUCUAGUCUGGGAAGGGAAGCCCUGGGAACAGAUCAGAGCAAGUGCAGCAGUGCAAGGGAAAGGCCAUGGACUUUGAUAUCAGACUGGCCUAGCUCAUCUACCAACCAGCCAUAAAACCUUAGGCAACUAACAUAAUUUCUCUAAGCAUCAGAGUUUUUUAUAUAUGAAUUGGGGAAAACAAAUCACUCACAAUUCUUCUGACCCACCUUUGCCAAGGCCUGCUAUGGACAGAGAAUGCUCCCCAUGCCUAUGAUGAUGGGCUCAGCCAUAUGGCCUGCUUAGGCCAGCAGAAUAUGGAUGGAAGUGACAGUAGUCACCUCCAAGCCAAGGCCUUAAGGGACAUCACUUUCUUUCUACUAGCCCCCUCAGCCUCCAUAUCUGCCAUGAGGCUGGCACGGCCUGGGGAGCUACUGAUCCAAGAAAAAGGAGACACAUGGAAAAACCCUGAAUUCAACCCACAGCCUGAAGCAUAAUGGCCCCAGCCAACUCACAGACAUGUAAGCAAGGAAAAAAAAAGGUUUGUUGUUGUAUGACACUGAUAUUUGGUUUUGAUAUCAGCAUUACUGAAGUGUUUGAUAUCAGCAUUACUAAAGCAGAAACUAAACAAAUAAGAUGCCAAGCACAGGAAGCACUCAGAGGCCACUAACAGCUUUGCUUGAGGCAGCAUCCACAAUGAAAGAGCCUGGGCUUUGGGGUUAGUGCAGUUCUCACUAGCCUAUGUGACCCUGACCAUAUUUCUAAACAUCUCUGAGCUAGCAUCUUCAUUUGCAAGUGGAAGGAUGUUUGUUGUAAGGAUUAAAUAAAAUAAUACUGCUACUGUGCUCUGAGCCUUCCCAGGUAUGCUGUAGGUGCUCAAUCAAUAGCAUUUUUGUUUAUUUAACAUGUGUAUGUUUGUCAGGCAUUGAUCUAAGCACAUUACAAAUAUUACCUUAUUUAAUGUUUUACAUACCCCCAUGGUAGGUAUUAUUAUUUUCUUUUUCAUACAAAUGUGCAGACUGAGGCACUGAAUAGCUAAGUUCCACGCCAGGCAAAGGGGACUACAAGAACCAGGUUGAAGAUAGGAAGAAGGUCCAGCAAGGUGAGAGGUAGGAGCAUAUUGAGGGGUCAGAGGGUAAAGAACAGAGGCAAGUCUGGCCCUGGCAGUAUCUUUCUACCAGGGAGGCCAUAGCUUAUGGGAGAGGCCAUAGCUUAAAGGCAAGGUGACACUGUCUGUCCUAAAACACCCUUGCACUUUAAGCCACUGUUACCAGUAGGUCCAGAGUUUUCACAACCAAUGAAGAACAUGUAACUUGAGAGCAAAGUAUUAUUUCAAGUGGACACAAUGGAGACAUACCAUAGAACAGCGGGUCCCGGGGCGGUUUUCUUUUGACGAGAACACGAGACAACAGGGCUACCAGGAGCAGGAUAAGGGCAGCAACCCCUACAAUUGUCCAGGAACUGCAACAACCAGAACAGGGAGGUGGUCACUUAUCAAAAUAAACACAAUUGUGCCUGGAAUUUCCUGCCCAUUGAAUGCAUUGCUCCCAGCACUACAUAAUUCAUACAUAAUUCUGCCUCUGCCUACAGCUCAGGCCCUAUGGAGUUUAUUUGCCUCUGGGCCAAAGCCCUAUGACUUCCAGGGAACACAGCCCAUAGGCCCUCAUUCUCCUUUCUUCCCACCUGUCUCACUUUCACAAGAUGUAUCUAGAGCUGCCUCUGCCCUACUCUACCCUGUCCCUGAGAUGGCUAUUGCCCUGAUUCCUAUUCUUCCCACCCUUUCCCCUGGCAUCUGACAGGCCUAACCACUAAAUCAGCCACCUCCCUCAGGGCCAGCCAGAAAUCCUCAGACUGACCUCCAGGGAAUAUACAGGAAUUAUGACUACACACACCUUUCAGGGGGACAAGGCAUAUUGUGCACUCCUUUGUGGCAGGUACUGCUGCAGUCCUGGGGGUACUGGAUAAAAACAAAAGAAGCCCUAAUCUAUGUGCAGGGACCCAUCUCAAUAGAAUCUGAGUCAUGACCAACAAGGUCACCUCUAGUUCUAAGGAGACACUCUCCCUCCUGCAUCCCCAGCACUGACAGUGCUUCCAGUUAUAGAUAAAGAACCACCUAGCCACUCCAAUAGCCUGCUACACCAGAACCCUCUUACAAUCCCUUAGGGCUGCUACAAGCUCCACUCCUCAGCUGACACCCCUCCACACCACCACAGCCCAACAUUAGAACCUUCGGAUAACGUUCACCAUAUACCCCUGGGAAAGAGGAAGAAGAUUAUGAAGAGAGGGGAGGGAAAUGGAUGGACAGACUGAAGGAUGAAUAGAUAACAGUUUUAUGAAAAGAAAAUGAUGACUGUGCCAGUAUGCAUGUGAAAAACAAAAACAGGAAGUUUCUGAUGGUGCACAUCAGUGGAUACUCCAAGUUCCUCCAAAAGACUUUCAUUCCCACCAGAAAUGAAGGAAGCUCGAGUUAACGAAGUCAAGCAUCACUGUAAAGCUCCUGUGCACAAGACGCUGAGCUGGGCAGGACAACACUAAGGUGAACUGUACCCUGGGAAGGUAAACUCUGACCACAAGAAAGAAACACUUAUGGGAAAGGUGCAGUUAAGGGACCAGGUGGGCUCAAAGCAGAGAAAAAUCUUUCAUUUGGAAGAAGGGUCUACUACAAAAGGAAGCAGAAUCUUACUCUGGGCCACAGAGCCCAGGUGUGCUUCAACAUUCAACAAUAGAGAGGAAAGAGAGGGUACAGCGUGAGCAGGGGCAAGUUAUAAGGGUGUUCAAGGGGCAAAGACAGUCUGAAGCACUAGCUAGGUGAGCUGGAGGUGAAGGCUGAGCCUCAGAGAUAUACAGAGGGCUGGGGGGAGGGGAGGAUGCCUUUGCCACAGUCCAGUAAUAGACGGCCAGCCCCAAGGAGAACUGAAAGGAGGGAAUGAACACUAGACUAGCCCUGAACUUGUGGGGAAGGAGAUAGAAGAAAGGGAUUGGAGAAAGAAGAGCCAGGGGUCAAAGGCCAUGGGAUUUUAACCUGCAAGAGGAAAAGAAGGAUAGUUGGAACUUAUUAUUGAAAACACUGUAGGACUUAACAAUGUGAUCAAUAAUGCACAGUGGUUUCAGUCUGUAUUCAGUAAGUGCCAUUUCCAUUUUCCCUGUGGCUGAGGCCCAAACCUCAGGGUUGUCCUCAAAUCCUCUCUUUACUUCUAUGCAAUCCUUCUGCAGCAGGCAGCUCUCCCUCUGAAUUUCCACCACACCCAUUCACUUCCUUUCCCAACUUUGCUCAUUGUUCCCCUGCCUGCAAGGAUUUAUCCCCACAUCUUGCUGUAGCUAAAGUGUCACCUUCUCCAAGAAGCCUUCCCUAACCAGCAGCCCCCUUCUUAACCAUGCUAGUUUGGUGUCAUGAUAGCAUGUUACUGUUUAUGUAUUUGUUGAUGUCUCUUUCAAUACAUGCCACCCAACUUUUUCUUGCCUAUUCAUAGCUAUGUCCCCAGCACAAAGCACACAGGUAUUCACUGCACUGGAACUGUCCAUAGGCUAUUUCAGAAGCACAGGGUCCCUGUGUACUAUAUGGAGAGGCACAUAACCCAGAGCUGCUUCUUCCAGAAGAUGCCUUGGGUCAAAUCAAGGGCAGACACCACCAGUACCCACAGAAGCGAGAGAGAAGUCACUACCCUGUGUGCAAACACUUGUCUGCUACCUGGAAGUCUGGAGGGGGUUCGCAGGGUAUAGACUGAUGCAAUUUCCUUAGCACCAACUGCUGUGAGAAAUAGAGCAGGUUACUUCCUCCUCCCCCCUCCCCACAGCAACCAAAACCAUCAGGCACGAAGGCUGGCUCCUUUCCAUUGCCCUCCCAGGCCUUCAGCUGCCCAUGGGGGAAGGUGUUGGUUAGUCAGUAAUCCCUUCAGAGAAGUGGGAGGCAGAGCUUUGAUCCAAAGCUUGUGCUGCCUCCUUCAGUCCCACCCAUAUCCUUAGCAUUGAUCUGCCCUGCCUCUACUCCCCGCCCCCAUCUUAUCUUCCAUUCAUAAUGCCCCUUCACAGUUCUCACCGGAUCUCAACAGGAUGCAAAUUUAGUCCAUUUGACAGACCAGAGCACUGAGGCCAGGCUACCCCAUUAGUGGCAAGGCCAGUCCUAGAACUAGGGCUAUUUCUGCUAGUCAUUUACAACAGCUUCUAAAAUUAAGAAAUGGUAAGUAUGUGAAAGUCCUUACAUGGAAACAUUUUUGUGAAAUGGGAACGGAAUAAGACACACGCAAGAUACCAUGGCCAAGCUCGUAGUUUCCGUGUUUGUUCUGCUGACCACUGGCCCUGAGCUCCUUAAGGGCAGGAGAAUUGCCCAACUGACCUCUAUAACCCCAGCACGGUGUGACACGGAGCGGGCGCCCAGCACUUGGUCCCUAAUUGCACAGGUCUGGGCAAGGGCCCCGCCAGUGCGGGGUUUCUCCCGCUCUACUCCGGAGGGCAGAACCCCUGGGGCGGGCGCAACUCUGCCCAGCAGCCUGUGGUCCAAGACCCAUCCGAAAAGUUGCCGAGUCUCCCGCGUAAGGACCUGACUCUCGCCGCCCCCCGACGCGCCCCCAGCCGCGUCCGCUCACUUACUCCUGGUGGGCCGCCAGGUGGUUGAAGAUGUAGGUGACCGGGAUGGCUGAGAGGGACAGCACGAACACCCCGGUGGCCGCAGAGGCACUCAUCGCCGCCGCCGAGCCGCUCGCCCUUCACCGCAUCCCUCCAGGCGCCCCGCCCCGGCUUCCGGCGGCGCCCGCGCCCCUCGGCGUCGGCCCUUGUAGACGCCCGCCCCGCGCCAGGCGCCGCGCCCUGCCGCACCGCACCCUCAGCGGUCCCCUCCGCGGACCUGCAGUGUACCCGGCGCCCAGAAGCGCCGGCCGGGAUGUGCUGGGCUGCGGCGCAGCCUGGGGAGGCGUCUUCGCUAUGCUCCUGCCAGGGCUCAGCGGCUAGUGGGACCGCGUUGAGGGCAGCGACACCCGCCGCCGGGGACAGGUGACCCUGGUGGGGCCACUCACUCUGCGAGAAGGCAGCGGACCGGGCUAGGGGCGCUUUCCCCAGCCCUGGGCACAGCGGGAGCUGGUCAUCUACGAGUUGGAGAGACGCUGGACUGAGCUGGGGGCCAGCGGUGGGUGGAGCCAGGCCCCAGGGUGUCAGAGAGGGCAGGGCCCGCGAGAUAGUCCACGGGGAAGCCCACGGCCCAGAGACCGGGAGGUGCAAAUACUCUAGAAUCGUGGAACUACUCUGCCCAACAGCUUUCAGCCGGCCACAAGCACAGCUCCUGUGCAGAGUGGAAUCCCUGCUUUAAAUCCUGGCUGCCCACUCAUCAGCUGUUGACCUUUAUCAAGUUACUUAACCUCUCUGUGUCUUUUUCCUAUCUGUGAAAUGUCGAUAACCUGCUCCAUGGUUUGAUUUUUGGAAUAACGGAGUUAAAUGUGUAAAGUGCUUACCCUGCACUGCUCAGCGUGCUCCCUUCUCCUGCAAUCCCCUGCCCCCGCCCACCACCACCUUUUUUUCUUUUUUAAUUAAAAUUGACCCUGUAAAAAAUGUAAGAGACUAGAUCAGCAUAUAUCUAGUAAGUGUCCCUGGAAGCCAGGUUAGGACCAACUAGCCUUCACUAGGCCCUGCAUGGUAUAAAGACUGGAAGACAACGUCUCUCCUCAGAAUAUUGUCAUAUACUGUAUAUCAGUAUAUGUACUGAUUAAGUACAUAUACUGAUUAAGGAGAAUAAUGAAUACUUUUGUUCUGACUGACUGCUUUCUGCAGAUGGUGGUAGGUCAGAAAGCCUCCAGGGGCUAACCCUGGAUUGACCCGAGGCUGGGGAAGGGUUAAGAACCAAGUUUUAGAGGGAGAACAUCUCAGCCAUGGAAGGAUAUAAUGGCAGGUCUUAUGUCCUUAAAAUUGAUAGAGAACUCAAGAGGCCAAUUGGCUCUUUUUCACAUGAGGAAAAUGAGUCACAAAGAGGUUAUGACCUACUCCAGGGCUAUUCAACUUUUCAAAAGCCAGCUCUCCUCAUCCGCCGACUUAGCUCCUUUUAAAGUCUUCUCCGACUCUGAGCACAUAAUGAUAAAAUCUUGGCCCAAACUGUGACAUAUCCACAUUUUCUUCAAGAGAUAUCCUUACCUGUAACCUGGACAUCACCCUCAGUGAAUGAUCUUUUUAGAUCAUCAUUGUCUAAUGAAAAUAUACGCCAUAACUGUGAACCCCAUGUAUACUUUAAAUUCUCUAAUAGCCACAUUAAAAAGAUAAAAAGAA